AGUGAACGCUGGCAGUAGGCCUAACACAUGCAAGUCGAACGGCAGCACAGUAAGAGCUUGCUCUUACGGGUGGCGAGUGGCGGACGGGUGAGGAAUACAUCGGAAUCUACUUUUUCGUGGGGGAUAACGUAGGGAAACUUACGCUAAUACCGCAUACGACCUACGGGUGAAAGCAGGGGAUCUUCGGACCUUGCGCGAUUGAAUGAGCCGAUGUCGGAUUAGCUAGUUGGCGGGGUAAAGGCCCACCAAGGCGACGAUCCGUAGCUGGUCUGAGAGGAUGGUCAGCCACACUGGAACUGAGACACGGUCCAGACUCCUACGGGAGGCAGCAGUGGGGAAUAUCGGACAAUGGGCGCAAGCCUGAUCCAGCCAUACCGCGUGGGUGAAGAAGGCCUUCGGGUUGUAAAGCCCUUUUGUUGGGAAAGAAAAGCAGCAGGUUAAUACCCCGCUGUUCUGACGGUACCCAAAGAAUAAGCACCGGCUAACUUCGUG
rnacentral:rRNA from 1 species